rnacentral:lncRNA from 10 species
CCUGUAAUCCCAGCUCUUUGGGUGGCCAAGGUGGAGGAUUACUUGAGCCCAGAAGUUUGAGAUCAGCCUGGGCAACAUAGGGAAACUCUGUUUUUACAAAAAAUUGAAAAAUUAGCUGGGUGUGGUGGCAUGUGCCUGUAGUCCCAGCUAUGUGGGAGGCUGAGGUGGAAGGAUCACUUGAGUCCAGGAGGCUGAGGCUGCAGUGAGCCGUGAUUAUACCACUGCACUCCAGCCUGGGCAAGAGGGAGCCCUUGUCUCAAAAAACAAAACAAAACAAAACAAAAAAUAAAAGGAAAAAAGUACAAAAUAAGACAUUUUUUCUCUCAAAUAAUCAAAGAAUUGUCUCUGAGUUGGGGCAAACUUGGCUGUUUCAUUUUGAUGAACCUGCCUCUUGCUUAUCCACGGAACAGUCUGCUACAACAGCCUGCUUGAAUACUUUGCAUUUCGGACCAACCACCUCCACAUUUGUCAUUAUGACAGGUUGUUAUUUACGGGGAAUGGCAGGUUGUUGAAAUCCUAAAUGAAGCACUAAGGAAUGAAGCUCUAAGGACCAAUUAUAGCAACAAUGCUUAAACAUUUCAGGCAGCAAAAUUGGCUCAGCUACAAGCUUGUUUAGGCAAGAAAAAAAUGCAUAUUUCCUAUAUUUUUGAUUUAUAGACCAACCCAAAGAGUGUGUGAUUUCUGUUGAUUUUAACAUAAAGUCACCUAAAUUAGGAGUAUGCAGUUUUAACUGCAAUAGUUGGCAUGGCUAAUAUGGGAAAAAGUAGAUUAACCCGAUGCCUCCCAAAUGUGCAAAUAUGCUAAGCCAUGUUUAAAACUAAGGUAACUCUCUAGGGUAAUUUUUCUGGUCUGCUGUGAUGUCCCCAAGUGGCUGGCAAGUGUCAUCUAUUGGCAAGGCCUGAACAAGAGCACAGCAGGAAACUUUCCCCUUAUCUGUUUGAAUGAAUGACUAAGCAAAGUUUAAAGGCCAUUUCACUCUGCUCUUAAAGGUAUGUGAGCAUGAAGAUGACAUGCUCCUUUGGUUCCCAGUUUCAGUGUCUGAUCAGUUAGGCAUAAAGGUGCUUUUGUCUACACAGGUUUCAUGUGUGUGUUCUGUUGAUGAGUCUGUUGACAACUCCAUAAACUAAGUGUCUCCAAGGCAGGCAGAGAUUGAGAUUUGUUUCUCAGAGAUUAAUGAAUGUGCCUCCAUUUCUUUCCCUCAAAAGAGACAAUACCACUUCCUGUAGCUUUCCUUGCGUGCUUCAGAUUGAAAACCUUAUUGGGCUGCAGAAAGAUUUAUGAUUCACGUAUAUGUCGGUGGCUAUUACUGUAGAAUAAUCUGGAAAACUGCUAGUCACAAUUUGUUCCCUCUCAAUGGUUACCGACUGAUUCAUUAUGCUGGGCUCUUGUGUCUUCUCUCCUUCCUUCACAUCUCUCCUCAAAAUGUUAGAUUCUUUGCCACACUAUUUACAGACUGUGGUAAAUAUAGCAGGUUGAUAUCAGGGUCACUUGUAUUAUAUAUGCUAUAAUGCCUACACCAUGUAUUUUUAUGUCAAGUGAUUAAGAAAUGUAUAAGAAAAAUGGUAAUAAGCUCUCCAUCACCAUCCACCCUUCCUGGGAUAAACACUGUUAAGAGUAUCCUUCUCUCUUGUUUUCUGUAUUCAUAUGCAUGUCAUAUUAUAAUUUUUUGUCUUGCUUAACAGUUUUUUUUGACCUAAAUAGUAUAUUUGCUCUUCAAUGUCCUAUUUUCAUGUAGCAAUAGGUCACAGACAUCCAUCUAGAUCUCUGUAUAUAGAUUGAAUGCAUUCCUUUAAAAAACAUUAAUUUACCAUAAUUGAUUCAAUCUUUCCCCUACUGAUAGACAUUUUUCUUGUUGAGGUUAUUUUUUUAAUAAAAAAUUUGGGGGCCAUUAUACACAGUGUUUCAAAUAACUUCUUGGUAUCUAUGUCUUUACAUACAGAUAUUCUUAAGGCUAUAGAUUUUUCAAAGUAGGAAUGUUGUGUCCAAGGGUAUAUUUUUACUUUUAAUCGAGGCUUGUUUUGUUAUAUUUAAUACUUUCUAAGUAAUAAAUACAACAAAAUAAUAUAAUUAUAUAUAAUAUAAU